rnacentral:piRNA from 1 species
UCCCGUAGCCUUUUUAGCAAUG